AAAUUGAAGAGUUUGAUCAUGGCUCAGAUUGAACGCUGGCGGCAGGCCUAACACAUGCAAGUCGAACGGUAGCACAGAGAGCUUGCUCUCGGGUGACGAGUGGCGGACGGGUGAGUAAUGUCUGGGAAACUGCCUGAUGGAGGGGGAUAACUACUGGAAACGGUGGCUAAUACCGCAUAACGUCGCAAGACCAAAGAGGGGGACCUUCGGGCCUCUUGCCAUCAGAUGUGCCCAGAUGGGAUUAGCUUGUUGGUGAGGUAACGGCUCACCAAGGCGACGAUCCCUAGCUGGUCUGAGAGGAUGACCAGCCACACUGGAACUGAGACACGGUCCAGACUCCUACGGGAGGCAGCAGUGGGGAAUAUUGCACAAUGGGCGCAAGCCUGAUGCAGCCAUGCCGCGUGUAUGAAGAAGGCCUUCGGGUUGUAAAGUACUUUCAGCGGGGAGGAAGGUGUUGUGGUUAAUAACCGCAGCAAUUGACGUUACCCGCAGAAGAAGCACCGGCUAACUCCGUGCCAGCAGCCGCGGUAAUACGGAGGGUGCAAGCGUUAAUCGGAAUUACUGGGCGUAAAGCGCACGCAGGCGGUCUGUCAAGUCGGAUGUGAAAUCCCCGGGCUCAACCUGGGAACUGCAUUCGAAACUGGCAGGCUUGAGUCUUGUAGAGGGGGGUAGAAUUCCAGGUGUAGCGGUGAAAUGCGUAGAGAUCUGGAGGAAUACCGGUGGCGAAGGCGGCCCCCUGGACAAAGACUGACGCUCAGGUGCGAAAGCGUGGGGAGCAAACAGGAUUAGAUACCCUGGUAGUCCACGCCGUAAACGAUGUCUACUUGGAGGUUGUGCCCUUGAGGCGUGGCUUCCGGAGCUAACGCGUUAAGUAGACCGCCUGGGGAGUACGGCCGCAAGGUUAAAACUCAAAUGAAUUGACGGGGGCCCGCACAAGCGGUGGAGCAUGUGGUUUAAUUCGAUGCAACGCGAAGAACCUUACCUGGUCUUGACAUCCACAGAACUUUCCAGAGAUGGAUUGGUGCCUUCGGGAACUGUGAGACAGGUGCUGCAUGGCUGUCGUCAGCUCGUGUUGUGAAAUGUUGGGUUAAGUCCCGCAACGAGCGCAACCCUUAUCCUUUGUUGCCAGCGAUUAGGUCGGGAACUCAAAGGAGACUGCCAGUGAUAAACUGGAGGAAGGUGGGGAUGACGUCAAGUCAUCAUGGCCCUUACGACCAGGGCUACACACGUGCUACAAUGGCGCAUACAAAGAGAAGCGACCUCGCGAGAGCAAGCGGACCUCAUAAAGUGCGUCGUAGUCCGGAUUGGAGUCUGCAACUCGACUCCAUGAAGUCGGAAUCGCUAGUAAUCGUGGAUCAGAAUGCCACGGUGAAUACGUUCCCGGGCCUUGUACACACCGCCCGUCACACCAUGGGAGUGGGUUGCAAAAGAAGUAGGUAGCUUAACCUUCGGGAGGGCGCUUACCACUUUGUGAUUCAUGACUGGGGUGAAGUCGUAACAAGGUAACCGUAGGGGAACCUGCGGUUGGAUCACCUCCUUACCUUAAAGAA
rnacentral:rRNA from 2 species